AGCGUUGGGGUUCCACCUCUUCCCAUUCCGAACAGAGAAGUUAAGCCCAAUUGCGCCGAUGGUACUGCAGUAAUAUGUGGAAGAGUAGGUAACCGCCUAUC
rnacentral:rRNA from 1 species